rnacentral:tRNA from 1 species
AUAAAGUUCAAUAUCCUGCGCCAAUAGUCUAGCAGCAGAACUCUGGCUUCCCAAGCCAGUGACCCGGGUGC